CCCAAAAAUUAAACCCAUGCCUCAGCUACCUAAACGGCUACGUUUUGGCCGUAGGAAUGAAAACCCUAUUUUCUUCUCUUCCCUCCCUUCUCUCGCUCUCGCGCCGCACAAUUCAUCUCUCGUCUCUGCUCUGCCUCUCUCUCUCCGAGCCCUCUCUCACGCCAAACCCCUUUUCUCCCUCACACCCCUUCCUUCUCUUCCUCAAGCCGACACCACCUCACAGCCCCUCUCUCUCUUCUCACCCCUCCCUACUCUGCCUCGCGUAACAGAAAUUAACCUCACAGCCACCAUAGAUCGACGGAAAACAGUGCCUACAGAAACAAUCCCUCUUCCGAAGCUUAAGGUGGGAAAACCAUAGACCCUGCGAUCAAGCUCCUCGGGAAGACGAUCCCGGUGGCUGGGAUGUGCAAGGGAUUUUGUAGGGGUUAUUUGUGAUGGUGAGUUUGGUGGGUGUGGGUUAUUAUUUGGAUCUGAGAGCAAUUUAGUGACAGAUAUGGAAGCGAAAGCUAUUGGGGUUUCUGUUUUGCUGUGGUUGAUCUUAUUGGUUCGUCCAUUAUGCUUAAUUUCAGCUAACACGUGACAGUGGAGCUUCCAUCCAUUCAUGUUAUGCGCGCAAUAAACUUCCACCUUCCAAUAACCAAUUUGUAGAAGAACCGACGCAAUAGAACCGAAUGAACCAAGGAAUGCAAUUCUUGAAUUUGUAGAAAGCAGUUGGACACGUGUAGUCUGAGAUUGCAAAAGCUAUGGCCCAUGUAUUUUACAUAGCCGAAAAAAUUGCCUUUAAUGACACAUAAGCAAUAGAUAACUCCGCUUUUAUAUA